AUUGAACGCUGGCGGCAGGCCUAACACAUGCAAGUCGAACGAGUGGCGGACGGGUGAGUAAUGUCUGGGAAACUGCCUGAUGGAGGGGGAUAACUACUGGAAACGGUAGCUAAUACCGCAUACCAUCAGAUGUGCCCAGAUGGGAUUAGCUAGUAGGUGGGGUAACGGCUCACCUGGGCGACGAUCCCUAGCUGGUCUGAGAGGAUGACCAGCCACACUGGAACUGAGACACGGUCCAGACUCCUAAGGGAGGCAGCAGUGGGGAAUAUUGCAAAAUGGGCGCAAGCCUGAUGCAGCCAUGCCGCGUGUGUGAAGAAGGCCUUCGGGUUGGAAAGCACUUGCAGCGGGGAGGCGUUACCCGCAGAAGAAGCACCGGCUAACACCGUGCCAGCAGGCGCGGUAAUUC
rnacentral:rRNA from 1 species